rnacentral:rRNA from 1 species
AUUGAACGCUGGCGGCAUGCCUUACACAUGCAAGUCGAGCGGUAACGGGCCUUCGGGUGCCGACGAGUGGCGAACGGGUGAGUAAUACAUCGGAACGUGCCCGAUCGUGGGGGAUAACGAGGCGAAAGCUUUGCUAAUACCGCAUACGAUCUGCGGAUGAAAGCAGGGGACCGCAAGGCCUUGCGCGGACGGAGCGGCCGAUGGCAGAUUAGGUAGUUGGUGGGAUAAAAGCUUACCAAGCCGACGAUCUGUAGCUGGUCUGAGAGGAUGAUCAGCCACACUGGGACUGAGACACGGCCCAGACUCCUACGGGAGGCAGCAGUGGGGAAUUUUGGACAAUGGGCGCAAGCCUGAUCCAGCCAUGCCGCGUGCAGGAUGAAGGCCUUCGGGUUGUAAACUGCUUUUGUACGGAACGAAAAGCCUUCUUUUAAUACAGGAGGGUCAUGACGGUACCGUAAGAAUAAGCACCGGCUAACUACGUG